rnacentral:rRNA from 1 species
UACGUAGGUGGCAAGCGUUGUCCGGAUUUACUGGGCGUAAAGAGCGCGCAGGCGGUCGUUCAAGUCGCGUGUGAAAGCCCCCGGCUCAACUGGGGAGGGUCACGCGAUACUGAUCGACUCGAAGGCAGGAGAGGGUAGUGGAAUUCCCGGUGUAGUGGUGAAAUGCGUAGAUAUCUGGAGGAACACCGGUGGCGAAGGCGGCGUCCUGGACCAACACUGACACUGAUGAGCGAAAGCCAGGGGAGCAAACAGG